UGCAUGUUCUUCUGUUAUAGUACCCUGAAUAGAUCAUGCCAGCUCUUUCUGGCCUGCCACAAGAUGCUACACUGGAUGUGUACACAGCCAUCAGAAAGGACGAAUACCCACCAAUUGCUUCGACGUGGAUGGAACUGGAGGGUAUUAUGCUGAGUGAAAACUUAAGAUCAUUACCUUAAUAAGGAGAAGAAAUCUAUAAGAAAAGAAAAAGAACCUCACCAUUAAUAAUUAAGCAAAAGAAGACAUGAAAGAUCAAAUGGAAACAAGACCCAGACCUCCUUUUUGACCCUCAUUCCACCUUUUGUGGAAUUCUAUGAAGGAAGAAUGAGCAACCAUGAUGAAAAUUCCUGCCAUUCCUUGGAUGUGAGGAGUGAGCGUUCAUCUAGAUACCAUGGCAACCAAGAACUGUCCCGAGGAGGCCCAUGGACAGCCUAGCCAGGUGUCAGGCUACUAGGAGGCUGAAAUGCCACUCCUCUGAAUGGAAAACUAGCUGCUAUGUUCCCGGAUAGAGUGGCUGAAAUGCAGAUGCGCUCCCGGGUUUGCAGCUUUAUUCCAGUGCACUGAAGAGCUGGCUGUCAUUGAAGAACAAUUCCAGCCGCCGCGAAUGACCCAAGCUUUCCAGGGAGCCCCGUUGCAAUUGACAGCCGCAUCUUCAUCCAGUCGUGGUGCAUGGUCAUGGUCUCAGCACAGAUAAGAAUCUCUUCAGUAAACCAACAACCCGAAGGUGAUACUCCCUUUUGAC